UACGGAGGAUGCGAGCGUUAUCCGGAUUUAUUGGGUUUAAAGGGAGCGUAGACGGUGUGGCAAGUCUGAUGUGAAAGGCAUGGGCUCAACCUGUGGACUGCAUUGGAAACUGCCCGUCUUGAGUGCCGGAGAGGUAAGCGGAAUUCCCGGUGUAGCGGUGGAAUGCGUAGAUAUCGGGAGGAACACCAGUGGCGAAGGCGGUCUACUGGGCACCAACUGACGCUGAGGCUCGAAAGCAUGGGUAGCAAACAGG
rnacentral:rRNA from 1 species